rnacentral:piRNA from 1 species
UCCUGGCAUGGAACUGACACAUAGUUGGCAC